CCCCUAGACGUUCUGGGCUGCACGCGCGCUACAAUAAUACGCACAGCGAGUAUCACCGAGCUCGAAAGGGCAAGAUAAACAAUAGAAAAGGUACUGUAAUGGUUAUAGAUCCUUGUAAUUAUUGAUCUUCAACGAGGAAUUCCUAGUAAGUAUGUGUCAUCAUCACGCACUGAUUACGUCCCUGCCCUUUGUACACACCGCCCGUCGCUCCUACCGAUUGGGUGAGCCGAUGAAACUCUCGGAUGUAGGCUAUUCAUAGCCCGCAGAAGAGAUUUGAAUCGUAGCGCUUAGAGGAAGGAGAAGUCGUAACA
rnacentral:rRNA from 1 species